CUUCUUUUUAUUUUGGUUUCAGUUGUGGUGAGUAUUAGUUUUACUCUGGGAAGGUUAAAUUCAGACAACAAGAUUGCUUGAUACCUUAUUGAUAAGGUCGCCAACAAUCUAUAUAUGUAUAUGAACAGGUUUUGUGGUUGGCUGAUUCUAACAAGACAAAAUGCUAAUACAGCUAAAGAAUACAUUUUAUAUUUAACGAGGAUCAAACACUGUUCAAACACUCGAAUUUUAAAUAUGAUAAAAUACUGCUACGCGUGUUUUAAAUAGCACAUAUAAAACCAUAGGUGAUUUAAGUACAGUUUAAUAAACGAGCACGAGUGUUUUAUUAGCAGGGCCGCGGAGAGCUUGGCGGGGGCCCGGGGCAGAUUUUCGGAAAAAAAAAUUUUCGGAGAAGAAUAACCUCCCCCCCCCCCCCCAAUCGACAACUUUUUAGGGAAAAAAAUUUUCCGGACGAGUACGUUGUAAUUCAUACCAAAUUUCGGUACUUUGCCCAAAAAAAUCAAAUAUGUUGCCCUUUGUGCGGCAAUAUUUCACCCCAAAAAAUGUCUGGGGCCCAACAAAAAAUUUCUAGGGGCCCCCAGGGUCAACCCCCCCCCUCUCGGCGGUCCUGUUUAUUAGGUUUAAAGCCACGAGUGCGCAGUGCGAGUGGCUUUAGACCUAAUAAAACACGACCUGCGAGUUUAUUAAACGACUUCAAACACAACAACAAAUUCAAUAGAUAUACUGCGUUAUUAGUAUAUUCUUUAUAUAAAGGACGCAACUACAAUAGAUACUGCCUUAUUAGUAUUCUUUAUAUAAAGAAUACUGGUUAGGAGUGUGUUAUGUAGGUUUAAAGCCACUACACAUGACAUAUUAUGGUUGACAUGAUUUGCCAAUAAGCUUAUGAAUUAUUAAUGAGUGUUUGAAGUAGUAAACAGGGUGUAUAAAAAAAAACAGCACAGAUUUGAAAUUGCUCUUAAAUUCGCAAAACAGCUAUUAGUAUCCAGUUUUGAUGUAUAUAGCUUCUUUGGGUACUUAUAAUGUGGAAAAAUGGAAAAAAUUUAUCGAACUCAAACUUUGCAAACCAGGGGGGGGGCGGUGUCUUUUCCAACAAACUAAAAAUGGCUUGCGCACGAAAUCUAAAAGCUUUAUCAUAUUUUGAGUUGAUAGAUGGAACAUUUGUUGGGUUUUUAAUUACUGUACAAAAUUUCAGACAAUUUGCUUUAGUUUAAGGCCUUUAACUAUUCAUUUUUCUCUAAAAAAUUAACCUUUCGCAUGCUUAAUUAAUGCCUUUACCUAAUUUGCAUAUUGCUGACAUUGCAAAUUAGGCAAAGGCAUUGAUUAGCAUGCAAAUGGUGAUUUUUUAAGAAAAAAUGUAAGUUUGCGUGAAUGGUUAAAGGGCGUAAAUUGUCUGAAAUUUUGUACAGUAAUUAAACACCCAACAAACUUUCCAUCUGUUAACUUAAAAUAUGAUUAAAGCUUUUAAAUUUCGUGCGCAAGCCAUUUUUAGUUUGUUGGAAAAGACACACACCCCUGGUUCACAAAAUUUGAGUUCGAAAAAUUUUUUCCAUUUUUCUACAUUAUAAGUACCCAAAGAAGCUAUAUACAUAAAAAAAAACUGUAUACUAAUAGCUGUUUUGCGAAUUUAAGAGUAAAUUUCAAAUCUGUGCAGUUUUUUUUUAUACACCCUGUAUAUUGCAUUAGUUAUAUAUAGUGUAUUAAUUGUAUCGAGCGUUUGCACUCAUUCCCCAGGGACCAACUCAGCAAAAGCCAUGGCGGCCAUGUUGGUGUUCCAGACAAAAUAGUCUAGUUAAAAUUCUUUUGAAUUGGAACACCAACAUGGCGGCUGUGACGUCAUAUGCAAACGCUCUAUAUACAUGUAGUAUCUAGGUAAAAUUUAUAUGAAUAAAGCUUUUUUUAUUAUUCUUAUUAUUAUUAAUACCAAUUCUCACUUCUUUUUCUAGAAUUACGCGCAGUCAUUUGAAAUGGACGAGAGCUAGAAGCAACACUUUUCUAUAAUCAAAAAGCGACAUAAUCCUGGAUUACAAAUCUUCUGGCAUAUUUGUUGAAGUUAUCAAGAUUAAAAAGAUAACUUUUAUUGAGCUUUCAAAACGGUUCUUCGAAACAAAUAUAUAUUUACAGCACUUCCAACCGAAGCACGAAUACUUAUUAUUGACUUCAGCAUUACCUUAAAGUGCAUGCGUUGAUAAUAGUUCAAUGUUAAUAGUUAACACUUAUUGACUGGGACAUUUAGGAAAAAUGUGUUUUGUUGGGUCGAAACUGCCAAUGUUUCCAAUGAUUAACAUGCAAAAGACUUAGAAUUGUUUACUU